GAUGAACGCUGGCGGCGUGCUUAACACAUGCAAGUCGAACGAAGCACUUUACCGGAUUUCUUCGGGAUGAAAGUUUUGUGACUGAGUGGCGGACGGGUGAGUAACGCGUGGGUAACCUGCCUCAUACAGGGGGAUAACAGUUAGAAAUGACUGCUAAUACCGCAUAAGACCACAGGACCGCAUGGUCCAGUGGUAAAAACCCCGGUGGUAUGAGAUGGACCCGCGUCUGAUUAGCUAGUUGGUAAGGUAACGGCUUACCAAGGCGACGAUCAGUAGCCGACCUGAGAGGGUGACCGGCCACAUUGGGACUGAGACACGGCCCAAACUCCUACGGGAGGCAGCAGUGGGGAAUAUUGCACAAUGGGGGAAACCCUGAUGCAGCGACGCCGCGUGAGCGAUGAAGUAUUUCGGUAUGUAAAGCUCUAUCAGCAGGGAAGAAAAUGACGGUACCUGACUAAGAAGCACCGGCUAAAUACGUGCCAGCAGCCGCGGUAAUACGUAUGGUGCAAGCGUUAUCCGGAUUUACUGGGUGUAAAGGGAGCGUAGACGGAGAGGCAAGUCUGAUGUGAAAACCCGGGGCUCAACCCCGGGACUGCAUUGGAAACUGUUUUUCUAGAGUGUCGGAGAGGUAAGUGGAAUUCCUAGUGUAGCGGUGAAAUGCGUAGAUAUUGGGAGGAACACCAGUGGCGAAGGCGGCUUACUGGACGAUGACUGACGUUGAGGC
rnacentral:rRNA from 1 species